UACGGGGGGGGUGAAGCGUUGUUCGGAAUUACUGGGCGUAAAGGGCUCGUAGGCGGCCAACUAAGUCAUACGUGAAAUCCCUCAGCUUAACUGGGGAACUGCGUGUGAUACUGGAUGGCUUGGAUUUGGGAGAGGGAUGCGGAAUUCCAGGUGUAGCGGUGAAAUGCGUAGAUAUCUGGAGGAACACCGGUGGCGAAGGCGGCAUUCUGGACUGCAACUGACACUGAAAGACGAAAGCCAGGGGAGCAAACGGG
rnacentral:rRNA from 1 species